UGAUGAAAAUAGUAAAAUGUGGCAAUUAUACUGAGAUGGUUAGAGUAAAAGAGAUAAAAAGGACGAAAUAACAAUGGAAAAAAAAUCAGAGUGAAGAUCAUAAAAAGGAUAAAGAAGCAUUUGAUUUUUUUUUAAGGGAGUGAACAGUAAAUAUUUUAAAAAAAUACUCCCUAUAUCCCUUAAUAUUUUUUCUCCACUUUCCUUUUUGAGGUGUCCAUUUUAUUUUGCUCCAUACCAUUUUUAUAGCCACUAUUUUCCUCUCACCAACAAUAUUUUGGGCCAACUACUAUUCUCUCUCAUCAACUUUACAAAACAUGUUAAUAAAGUAAACAUACAUCUAUACCCUAUGGGCGAAAAUAAAGGGACGAAAGGAGUAGUUUAAAUAAUACACAUUAAUACAAAAGUGAAAUGAUGUAUAGUGUCAUCAAAAUUGAUCAAACUGUCAUCAUUUCAGGCAAAGAGGAUUUUUUGCCCAUACUAAUUUUUUUCCAUUUUCUUUCUCUAAUAUUAGUCCAUCAACCACAACCAAGUUAACCACCACCUAUCACGGAUACCGGUACAUCCCAAGCCAACACGUCGACCACCACAACCCACAACCACUGUGUCAACCACCAUAACCCACAACCACUGUGUUAACCACCACAACCCACAACCACUGUGUCAACCACCACCUUCUACACUAGACAACCACAACAACGACAAAAGUCAAGGAGAAAUGGAGUGAUUUAGGUGGCCCGUCGGAAAACAAACCGGGAAUGCCAUCGUCAGCAUUUCGAUAGGUUCAGUAGCUCUUCUGAUUUGUGUGUGGAUGGUGUCAUCUAUGGAGAUCGUGUGGUUCCUUUAUGUGCUAAAUUGGAAAGCUUAGAGAAGCUAGGAUGUUUGUUAGUUAUGCUCUAUAGGUUGGAUUCAAUUAUGUAAACAAAAUUAGAGGUGUUGGUUGAUUGAAAGUUUUUCUAUAUUAGUUGCUAUCUAAUUCUGUUGUAUUGUGUAGGGUAUAGAUUAAUCAAAUUUUAGAUGUUCUGGUUUUAUUAAUCAAGCAUUGAUGAUAGAUACAUGUUUAUGAUCAA